rnacentral:lncRNA from 1 species
UUCACACAGAUUUCAGCAAUCUAUAUGCCCACCAACACAGUUCACCCGCUCUAACCUGAGGAAGGUUUUCCUGGAGGCAAGCGACCCUCCCCAAAGAACUGGAAAUGCAACCUCAGGGGUGUCAACCCUACAACUUCUUUCAGAGAAAGAGCCUGAGCACCUGCAGUCUUCCCUGGAAGACGCAUCCACAUCCGCACUAAAGUGGGGUUAGAGGCAGAAAAUCUUGGAUGUUUGUGCUCCAUUUGUGUGAAGACCUGAAGAACUCCAAACAUUGUGAAAUGCAGCGGUGCAAUAUUGGGUAGGGCCUUAGGCCAGACGGAACUUAUUAAGAGAUUGAUAAACUCCUAUUUCCCAACUGCUCUCCGCCUCACCUUCCAGCUUUGUACCUCGUAGAGGCCUGUCAGGAAGACUGCAGCUCUGGUCAGCUACACACGGGAUGCGCCUGAGCUCCUGCCCUUCCAGGGCUCCUCAGGGUCACCUGAGAGAACACAGCUGGUUUCUGAAGUGCUCUUCUCAUAUGUCCAGGAUUUCCCCUGUGCUUCCAGAGAAUGGGAGAAGCCUGCCUCUGUGACAGCCUACAGAGCAGGUUCAGGAACAAGCAGCCAAUGACCAUUUUCUUCCGUUUCGAGGAACCCAGUGAAGGACUUACCCAAAGGAAACAGGAAAUCGGGAAAGUGAUUGGAUGCCAAGAGGCCAACAGCAAAAGCUAGGUAGUCAGGAGCUACCAGAAGCUUUGUCAGGUAAGGAGUCUGGUCUGGACUUCACUGAGAGUCUUUUUCCCCCCUUUCAUUCCUUCUGCU